rnacentral:rRNA from 1 species
GACGAACGCUGGCGGCGUGCUUAACACAUGCAAGUCGAACGGAAAGGCCUGCUUUCCCUUGUGGAUUGCGGGUACUCGAGUGGCGAACGGGUGAGUAACACGUGAGUGAUCUGCCCCCAACUUGGGUAUAAGCCUGGGAAACUGGGUCUAAUUCCCGAUAGGACUGCAGGGUGGUGCCUGUGGUGGAAAACGAUUUUCUAGUGGUUGGGGAUGAGCUCGCGGCCUAUCAGCUUGUUGGUGGGGUAAUGGCCUACCAAGGCGGCGACGGGUAGCCGGCCUGAGAGGGUGGACGGCCACAUUGGGACUGAGAUACGGCCCAGACUCCUACGGGAGGCAGCAGUGGGGAAUAUCGCACAAUGGGCGGAAGCCUGAUGCAGCGACGCCGCGUGGGGGAUGACGGCCUUCGGGUUGUAAACUCCUUUCGACCGCGAGGAAGCCACCUGGUUGGAAGGGUGGUGACGGUAGUGGUAGAAGAAGCACCGGCUAACUACGUG